rnacentral:misc_RNA from 1 species
GAUGAAGAACGUAGCGAAAUGCGAUACGUAAUGUGAAUUGCAGAAUUCAGUGAAUCAUCGAAUCUUUGAACGCAUAUUGCGCCUUCUGGUAUUCCGGAAGGCAUGCUUGUUUGAGUAUCAGUAACAACCUCAGCUCCCUAGUUCUUUCUGGGAAGUUGGAUUUGAGCAUUUUCCUACUCUUCACAGAGGCGGAUUGCUUGAAAUUAGGUUCGGCCAGACGGUUAAUUCCCUGGGCUACAAGCAUUUCAUACUUAAUCCCGUUAAACGGAUUAUUUCCUUUGCUGCAGCCAACUUAAACAGGUAAUCGUCAGUGUCUGACUGAUGCAGGAAAAGUGGAGAGGGAAAAGGGGCUUCGGUCCCCAGCACCUCUCUCUCUUUUAAACUCGAUCUCAAAUCAAGUAGACUACCCGCUGAACUUAAGCAUAUCAAUAAGCGGAGGA